GGAAGGGGCAGUGGACAUGCAUCCGACUGGAGAUGAGCCCUGUCAGAUCUAGACAUCUACCCCAUGGAAUCAGAAAGAUCUGGCAGAAGUUUCCCACUCUUUCCAUCUGGGGGAGAUGGCUAACCGUAGUGGAUGAGAGUCCCAAGCAUUGGCAUGAGACAGGUCUGAGUUUCUGUUUUGAAUCCUGGUUCUGAUACAGGGGGUAUUGUCAUAAGGUCAAUUGAUCAGUUAGGGUGGGUAGGAACAGAUCACAAUGGUGGAAUGUUAUGUCUCCGUAAUGGUGCAAUGAUCCUUCCUUCGCGUAGGGUACCUUAAGUGAGAUGAGAUAUGUGGAAAGGUGAUCGCGUGCUCAAGAAAUGCUAGCUGUGAGGAUUAUUAAGGUUAUUAGGAAUGUGUCACGUUUCUGGUUCUGUCCAAGAUGCAAAGCAACGUGUCUGCAGCAAGACAGGGCAAGCGGGAGAAGGUGGAGCCAGGACCUACCAUUAGAGCUGCUGGGUGGAUGAAAAUAGGGGCUGCCCCUUGUGGGGGUUCUGUGGGGUGGACAGGACACUGCUGGAGUGUGGCAGGCCUUCACUCUUGCUGCCCUUUAGCCUAGGGGACCACCUAGAGGGCCGGAUCUCCUGCCCCGGGGCAAGGCAAGGCAUUCAGGACAGCACAGGUCUGGCCUGCAGACAUUCGCUACCAGGAAGUCUGAUCACAGCAGCAAAUUCAAGCUCUGGGUCUAUCGGUCUCUACUGUAGAAUUAUUUAGUAGAACUAAUGGAAUGAAAUGUCCGCUGGGGAUUCCAACCUCUUUUCUCUCUUUGAUUGACAGUGGAAUCUGGCCCCAGGUUUGUGGUGAUGAGGAAUCAGAUAAACUCUAUAGAGAUGGUUUGAGUGGUUGGGGUCAGGAUGACCACUUCUGAUAGCAACUCAAUCAUACCGAAUUCAUUCACAUUAUCUCAUUGGUUCCUCACACCAACCUGUGUGAUGGGCAGUAACUCAGGUGUGAUGAUUAUUCCCAUUUUACAGAUGAGGAAAGUAAGGCUGGCAGAAGUAAUGGGACUUGUUCAAUGUCACACAACCAGAAGGUUGUGAGGUCUGGGCAAAAAUACAGGAGGUCUGACUUAGAUGCUCCACCUUCCCCA
rnacentral:lncRNA from 10 species